rnacentral:rRNA from 1 species
GAUGAACGCUUGCUACAGGCUUAACACAUGCAAGUCGAGGGGCAGCAUGGUCUUAGCUUGCUAAGGCCGAUGGCGACCGGCGCACGGGUGAGUAACACGUAUCCAACCUGCCGUCUACUCUUGGACAGCCUUCUGAAAGGAAGAUUAAUACAAGAUGGCAUCAUGAGUCCGCAUGUUCACAUGAUUAAAGGUAUUCCGGUAGACGAUGGGGAUGCGUUCCAUUAGAUAGUAGGCGGGGUAACGGCCCACCUAGUCUUCGAUGGAUAGGGGUUCUGAGAGGAAGGUCCCCCACAUUGGAACUGAGACACGGUCCAAACUCCUACGGGAGGCAGCAGUGAGGAAUAUUGGUCAAUGGGCGAGAGCCUGAACCAGCCAAGUAGCGUGAAGGAUGACUGCCCUAUGGGUUGUAAACUUCUUUUAUAAAGGAAUAAAGUCGGGUAUGGAUACCCGUUUGCAUGUACUUUAUGAAUAAGGAUCGGCUAACUCCGUGCCAGCAGCCGCGGUAAUACGGAGGAUCCGAGCGUUAUCCGGAUUUAUUGGGUUUAAAGGGAGCGUAGAUGGAUGUUUAAGUCAGUUGUGAAAGUUUGCGGCUCAACCGUAAAAUUGCAGUUGAUACUGGAUAUCUUGAGUGCAGUUGAGGCAGGCGGAAUUCGUGGUGUAGCGGUGAAAUGCUUAGAUAUCACGAAGAACUCCGAUUGCGAAGGCAGCCUGCUAAGCUGCAACUGACAUUGAGGCUCGAAAGUGUGGGUAUCAAACAGGAUUAGAUACCCUGGUAGUCCACACGGUAAACGAUGAAUACUCGCUGUUUGCGAUAUACAGCAAGCGGCCAAGCGAAAGCGUUAAGUAUUCCACCUGGGGAGUACGCCGGCAACGGUGAAACUCAAAGGAAUUGACGGGGGCCCGCACAAGCGGAGGAACAUGUGGUUUAAUUCGAUGAUACGCGAGGAACCUUACCCGGGCUUAAAUUGCAGAUGAAUUACGGUGAAAGCCGUAAGCCGCAAGGCAUCUGUGAAGGUGCUGCAUGGUUGUCGUCAGCUCGUGCCGUGAGGUGUCGGCUUAAGUGCCAUAACGAGCGCAACCCUUGUUGUCAGUUACUAACAGGUUCCGCUGAGGACUCUGACAAGACUGCCAUCGUAAGAUGUGAGGAAGGUGGGGAUGACGUCAAAUCAGCACGGCCCUUACGUCCGGGGCUACACACGUGUUACAAUGGGGGGUACAGAGGGCCGCUACCACGCGAGUGGAUGCCAAUCCCCAAAACCUCUCUCAGUUCGGACUGGAGUCUGCAACCCGACUCCACGAAGCAGGAUUCGCUAGUAAUCGCGCAUCAGCCACGGCGCGGUGAAUACGUUCCCGGGCCUUGUACACACCGCCCGUCAAGCCAUGGGAGCCGGGGGUACCUGAAGUGCGUAACCGCGAGGAGCGCCCUAGGGUAAAACUGGUGACUGGGGCUAAGUCAUA